rnacentral:rRNA from 1 species
GAUGAACGCUGGCGGCGUGCCUAAUACAUGCAAGUCGAGCGAACAGACGAGGAGCUUGCUCCUCUGACGUUAGCGGCGGACGGGUGUGUAACACGUGGAUAACCUACCUAUAAGACUGGGAUAACUUCGGGAAACCGGAGCUAAUACCGGAUAAUAUAUUGAACCGCAUGGUUCAAUAGUGAAAGACGGUUUUGCUGUCACUUAUAGAUGGAUCCGCGCCGCAUUAGCUAGUUGGUAAGGUAACGGCUUACCAAGGCAACGAUGCGUAGCCGACCUGAGAGGGUGAUCGGCCACACUGGAACUGAGACACGGUCCAGACUCCUACGGGAGGCAGCAGUAGGGAAUCUUCCGCAAUGGGCGAAAGCUUGACGGAGCAACGCCGCGUGAGUGAUGAAGGUCUUCGGAUCGUAAAACUCUGUUAUUAGGGAAGAACAAAUGUGUAAGUAACUAUGCACGUCUUGACGGUACCUAAUCAGAAAGCCACGGCUAACUACG